UGGCUCAGAUCGAACGCAGCGCAGCAUAGCACAUGCAAGUCGAUCGAUGUCAGGAAGCUUGCUCGUGAUGCAGCGUAGACGGGUGCAGUCAUGCCUAGGAAUCUGCAUGGUAGUGGGGAACAACGUUUGAAAGGAGCGCUCAUACUGCAUACGUCGUGCGGGAGUAAGCAGGGGACCUUCGGUCCUUGCGCUAUCAGAUGAGCCUAGGUCGGAUAGCUAGUUGGUGAGGUAAUGGCUCACCAAGGCGACGAUCUAGUAACUGGUCUGAGAGGAUGAUCAGUCACACGGGAAGUGAGACACGGUCCAGACUCAUACGGGAGGCAGCAGUGGGGAAUAUUGCACAAUGGGAGAAAGCGUGAUCCAGCCAUGCCGCGUGUGUGAAGAAGGUUUUCGGAUUGUAAAUCACUUUAAGUUGGGAGGAAGGGCAGUAAGUUAAUACCAUGUUGUUUUGACGUUCCCGACAGAAUAAGCACCGGCUAACUCUGUGCCAGCAGCCGCGGUAAUACAGAGGGUGCAAGCGUUAAUGGGAAUUACUGGGCGUAAAGCGCGCGUAGGUGGUUCGUUAAUUUGGAUGUGAAAGCCCCGGGCUCAACCUGGGAGCUGCAUCCAAAACGGGCGAGCUAGAGUCCGGUAGAGGGUGGUGGAAUUUCCUGUGUAGCGGUGAAAUGGGUAGAUAUAGGAAGGACCACCAGUGGCGAAGGCGACCUCCUGGACUGAUACUGACAUUGAGGUGCGAAAGCGUGGGGAGCAACCAGGAUUAGAUACCCUGGUAGUCCACCCCGUAAACGAUGUCAACUAGCCGUGGAAUCCUUGAGAUUUAGUGGCGCAGCUAACGCAUAAGUGACCGCCUGGAGACCCCA
rnacentral:rRNA from 1 species